ACGGGGGAUCCUGCAGAUGGAAGACGGAGCCCCGCGGGACCCGGUGCCCCCGUCCCCGCCUGCCGGCCCCCACCGAGAUCUCGCCCAGGAGAGAGAAGGCACAGUAUCUCCGAGGGGCGUGUCGGGCCGACUCCCGUCAGAAAUGUGGGUUGGGAGGUCAGGGCUGCAGGCGGAGAGGAGGAGACAGGCAAGAGGCCUGAGUCCCUGGGAUUGGAGUCGUAUUAGGGGUAAAAGAGAUAAGGACGCCUGGGUUUCUUCUUAUGUCUCCUUUUUGGGUUCCCAGAAUUCCUAAGGGUGUUUCCAGUGUUUCCAGGAAGCUUAGCCAGCACACCCACUCCGCCCCGUAGGGGUCAAAGGUCUGUGUUAGAGGUGGCCUGGGAUGAUGUCACUAGUGCACGUGCCCCGGGAUGGUUGCCAGGCAAUGAGGCUUCCUCCCCCUUCUAUUCCCUCCCACCUCUGCCCCGAGUCCAGUUCCAGUCCCGUGCCAUCUCUUUCCCCUCUCCCUUCCCGUGGUCUUAGCAUCCUGCAGGUGGGAAACCCCGGCCUGGAGUUUUGUGAGGGGGAGGGGCACGGGUGUGGUGUGGCUGAAAGACUUUGCCCCUUUGCUGGGCUGAGGGAGCCUUGGGUCACUUUUCCCUAGAUUGGCACAGAAGAGCUUCCCCUCCAAGGCUCCGCCCCCAUAGAAAAAGCUACCUAGCCGUCAUUUUACUUUCCCACCUGCUGCAUGGCCAAGUGUCCUAUUGCCCCCUUCCCCAGAUUGAUUUGAAGUGGGAGUGGUUGAAAGACGGAAGAGUUGUGUGUAGUAUGGGGGGGGGUUCACUACACACCAGCUUAUCCCUGAAAUCCCCAUAAUGGCACACCCCCAUCUGCAAACAAUGAAAGGAAAAGGGUCAAGAAACAGUAUUAGGCUGAAAAGUCAGGGUCUUUAUUGUGUGUAUGCGGGUGAAUCGGUUUGUAGCCUCUCACUUGGUGGAGGGGGACUCAGUUGAUUGCUAUGGUUGUUCUUCUCUAUUAAGUCCCAGGGUUGGUGAUGGUAUUGGAAUGAAUCGGUUUGUGCUUUUAUGUACCUUAGAGCUUGGGCUGUCAGAUCAGACCUGGAUUCUAAUUCUAGCUCUGUCACUUAGUGGCUACUAGGACUUGGAGAGGUCAGAACCUCUCUGAGCCUCGUAUGUUAAUCUUGAACAUUUAAAUAUCAACACCUACCUUGAAGGCCGCUGGGAGGAAAAAAAUGAGAUAAUUUAUGCAAAUCACUUAGCACAGUGCCUGGCACAGAAUGAACACAGAAUGAGUGCUUGUUGUUAUGAAAUACUUUUAUUAUUAAAUGGUGUUAGUUACUAGUUUA
rnacentral:lncRNA from 1 species